rnacentral:tRNA from 2 species
GUAGAUAUAGUUUAAACAAAACACUAAACUGUGAAUUUAGCUAUAAGGGCUCGAAACCCCUUAUCUACC